CCUUAAAGAACCUGCCUUUGUAGUGCUCACACAGAUUGUCUGAUAGAUGUAAAGAAGCAAGACGGCUGCGAAGUCGCGACACCUCGUGUCCCCUUCGUCUAGCGGUUAGGACUCCGCCCUUUCACGGCGGCAACAGGGGUUCGAAUCCCCUAGGGGACGCCACUUGCUGGCUGUGAGUGAAAGGCACAACCAACCGAUAUCUCAAAACUCAUCUUCGGGUGACGUUUGAGAUAUUUGCUCUUUAAAAAUCUGGAUCAAGCUGAAAAUUGAAACGACACACUGUUUAAGUGUGUUCGAGUCUCUCAAAUUUUCGCGACACGAUGAUGUUUUACGAAACAUCUUCGGGUUGUGA
rnacentral:misc_RNA from 1 species